UACGUAGGGGGCAAGCGUUGUCCGGAAUCAUUGGGCGUAAAGAGCGUGUAGGCGGCCCGAUAAGUCCGCUGUGAAAGUCCAGGGCUCAACCCUGGAAUGCCGGUGGAUACUGUCGGGCUCGAGUCCGGAAGAGGAGAGUGGAAUUCCUGGUGUAGCGGUGAAAUGCGCAGAUAUCAGGAAGAACACCCGUGGCGAAGGCGGCUCUCUGGGACGUGACUGACGCUGAGACGCGAAAAGCGUGGGGGAGCAAACAGGAUUAG
rnacentral:rRNA from 1 species